GAUGAACGCUGGCGGCGUGCCUAAUACAUGCAAGUCGAGCGAAUGGAUUAAGAGCUUGCUCUUAUGAAGUUAGCGGCGGACGGGUGAGUAACACGUGGGUAACCUGCCCAUAAGACUGGGAUAACUCCGGGAAACCGGGGCUAAUACCGGAUAACAUUUUGAACCGCAUGGUUCGAAAUUGAAAGGCGGCUUCGGCUGUCACUUAUGGGUGGACCCGCGUCGCAUUAGCUAGUUGGUGAGGUAACGGCUCACCAAGGCAACGAUGCGUAGCCGAGCUGAGAGGGGGAUCGGCCACACUGGGACUGGGACACGGCCCAGACUCCUACGGGAGGCAGCAGUAGGGAAUCUUCCGCAAUGGAGGAAAGUCUGACGGAGCAACGCCGCGUGAGUGAUGAAGGCUUUCGGGUCGUAAAACUCUGUUGUUAGGGAAGAACAAGUGCUAGUUGAAUAAGCUGGCACCUUGACGGUACCUAACCAGAAAGCCACGGCUAACUACGUGCCAGCCGCCGCCGUAA
rnacentral:rRNA from 1 species